GUGAUCAGUUACAUCACACACAGCCAUUACAGGACUGUGCUUUGUGCUCAAAUUCAGACAAUGGUCCUUUCCAUCAAUGACCCACCAAGGAUGGAGAAGGACAGAAACCACAUGGCUGCGAGGAUAUUGGACCUCACCCUGGAGAUCAUCUCCUUGAUAACUGGAGAGGAUUACACAGUAGUGAAGAAGUCGUCUGGUGAGUGUGUGACACCCCGUGUGUCA